rnacentral:tRNA from 1 species
GGACAGGUGGCAGAGUGGUCGAUUGCGGCAGAUUGCUAAUCUGUUGACGGGGUCUUUUCCCCGUCCGAGGGUUCGAAUCCCUCCCUGUCCGCCA